rnacentral:ncRNA from 1 species
ACAGUACAAACUGAGCAGACCGCAGCGGAUUGCUGUGGAGUCGGGUCACAUACGUGACAGUGGAAGCUUCAUCCACGGGACAGU